CGGGGAGUUGAAAAUAAGCAUAGAUCCGGAGAUUCCCAAAUAGGUCAACCUUUUAAACUGCCUGCUGAAUCCAUGAGCAGGCAAGAGACAACCUGGCGAACUGAAACAUCUUAGUAGCCAGAGGAAAAGAAAGCAAAAGCGAUUCCCGUAGUAUCGGCGAGCGAAAUGGGAGCAGCCUAAACCGUGAAANNNNNNNUGUGGGAGAGCAAUACAAGCGUUGUGCUGCUAGGCGAAGCGGUUGAGUGCCGCACCCUAGAUGGCUAAAGUCCAGUAGCCGAAAGCAUCACUAGCUUAU
rnacentral:ncRNA from 1 species